GAGUAUGCGGGGAAGUUUAGAAAAGAUGCAGCAAUGGUGUGGUCAGAGAUAAUAAAAAUUGAUGGCUUCGGAUGAUGCUUUGAAAAUUUCGAUUGACAAAGUCGCAGAUGUAACUAUGAGCGAUUGGACUCAAAAGUCAUCCAAUUUUACACAAUGAGAUGCAUACAAAUAAUUAUUCUUUCCUUGUA